rnacentral:sRNA from 1 species
AAUCAAAAUUACCUACAGAAAUCUAAUCUGAAUAAAAAAAACUGUAAAUGGUGAUCAAAACCGCACCCAAAACCGUACCGCAACAGUGCUAUAACAGUAUUAAAAUCUCUAUUUAUACAUAUGUAUUUAUGUAUUUUCGUUAAUAUUUAAACCGUACCGCAUUUUUUCCGCACUGUAAAACGCAGUCACCGUUCGGAGUCUGAGAAUGCUAAUCUCUAGUAGAAAGAAACUAAUCAACAAUGCAACAUGUUAUGUCGC